AAAAAAAGAAGUUCGAUAUUUCUGUCCGACCUUGUGACUCUUCAUCUGCUUCCGGAAGAGCAAUGAUAUGAAAUUUCGAGGACUUGCGGAUUUGAGAGCGUUCCGGGUCUCGAGGGAUCGUCGUGCAACAUACAAUUAUUUUAGCUUAAAAUUUCUAGCAAUCGUCUCUACAUGCCGCGGCGGAGCUGGAGGGUCGUCCAGCAUGGCCCAGAUCUCGAAGGCCUCCCAGCAUCGUCGUCGGGUGAAGAAUCGUCUUCUGGGUUUUGAAGUCUCGAAGGGGUCGAGGACUUCUCAUCUGGAUAAAGUUCGGUUGCUUUCCUUCCGCGUUUUUCUCACGGGUGUUUCGGUUGCUGGGAAAAUGUGGGUUUUUAGGGAGACACAGGGCUUGAUGGCGCCGGCGGGUGAAGACGGCGGCAACGAGGGAUGACCAGUAAGAUGGAACCGAGAAAGAAGAUGAAGAGCUACAAGAAAGAAAAUAAAAGGAAAAAGGAGUGGAGAGAUUCAGGUGAUUUUGCC
rnacentral:lncRNA from 1 species